rnacentral:tRNA from 2 species
GCGUUGGUGGUUCAGUGGUAGAAUUCUCGCCUGCCACGCGGGAGACCCGGGUCCGAUUCCUGGCCAAUGCA